GUCACCGUGGUGGAACGGCAUACACGGCAGCUUGAGGUGCUGUGCUCUUCGAGAGCGUGAGGGUUCGAAUCCCUCCGGUGACA
rnacentral:tRNA from 1 species